rnacentral:rRNA from 1 species
CCCUUAGAUGUCCUGGGCUGCACGCGCGCUACACUGAUGUGUCCAGUAAGCACCUAACCUAUUCCGAGAGGAGCGGGUAACCUUAGCAAAGCACAUCGUGAUGGGGAUAGAUUAUUGCAAUUAUUAGCCUUGAACGAGGAAUUCCUAGUAAGCACAAGUCAUCAGCUUGUGUUGAUUACGUCCCUGCCCUUUGUACACACCGCCCGUCGCUCCUACCGAUUGAAUGUUCCGGUGAGCUCUUCGGACUGCGCGGUCUGCAGUUUCUGCGUUCCGUGCGGAAAGUUGUGCAAACCUUAACAUUUAGAGGAAGGAGAAGUCGUAACA